UAAAUUUUAAUAUGGAAUAAUAAAAUCGGAGGCCACGACUGUUUACUAAAAACACAAUUCAGAGCAAUGAUUAAGAUCAUAGUAUUCUGAAUGAAAUUUGCUCAAUGCCAUUAAUAUAAAAGAGGUAAUUUUUAAGUUACUAAUUGAAAGUCUGGUUAAUAGCGGUCUUAACUAUGAGGAUCCUAAGGUAGCAAAAUAAAUUGGCCAUUAAAUGUGGUCUAGUAUCAAUAAUGUAACGAUGGUCUCACUGUCUCUACAACUUGCUCAGUGAAAUUGAAUUGCGAGUGCAGAUGCUCGCUAUCUUCAGAGGGAC
rnacentral:rRNA from 1 species